rnacentral:rRNA from 1 species
GUACCCGUGAGGGAAAGUUGCAAAGCACUUUGAAGAGAGAGUUAAAGAGGACGUGAAACCGGUAAGAUGGAAACGGAUAGAGCUAGCGAUGCCGUUUGUUUCAGUCAACUGUUGUUGCCUACUGGCCUUCAGAAUGUUAAUCCUUCUGCUGGUCUUUACGGUGGCGACUGAGAUGUAUGCAGACGGUUGCGCUGAGACUUGUGGAGCAGUUGUUGGACGCUUGAAUAGAGGCUUCUCUCUGGGUUGAACCUGUUCUUGUUGACAUCAAUUUGCUCUGCUCGUACGAGUUCGGUACCUUGGUGUUUCGGUGGUGCAUUGAGUUGGAGUCACAUGUGACUAUCGGUUCUGUGUGCUUUCGAGGCGUUAAGGUUCCCGAGUUCACUCUCGGUGUAGAAGCUGGUCACCUAUCCGACCCGUCUUGAAACACGGACCAAGGAGUUUAGCGUAUGCGCGAGCCAUUGGGUGUAAAACCCACAGGCACAAUGAAAGUGAAGGCCCAGUCGCUGGGCUUACAUGUGAGUGGGAAGUCUCCGGACAACCACGCAACAUGGUCCCGUUCUAGUUGCUUGCAACGGAGCGGAGAUAGAGCGUAUGCGCUGAGACCCGAAAGAUGGUGAACUAUUCCUGAGCAGGACGAAGCCAGAGGAAACUCUGGUGGAAGUCCGAAGCGAUUCUGACGUGCAAAUCGAUCGUCUGACUUGGGUAUAGGGGCGAAAGACUAAUCGAACCAUCUAGUAGCUGGUU